UACGUAGGGGGCAAGCGUUGUCCGGAAUCAUUGGGCGUAAAGAGCGUGUAGGCGGCCCGGUAAGUCCGCUGUGAAAGUCCAGGGCUCAACCCUGGGAUGCCGGUGGAUACUGUCGGGCUCGAGUCCGGAAGAGGAGUGUGGAAUUCCUGGUGUAGCGGUGAAAUGCGCAGAUAUCAGGAGGAACACCAAUGGCGAAGGCAGCACUCUGGGACGGUACUGACGCUGAGGCGCGAAAGCGUGGGGAGCAAACAGG
rnacentral:rRNA from 1 species